UACGUAGGGACCGAGCGUUGUCCGGAUUCAUUGGGCGUAAAGAGCUCGUAGGCGGCUGUUCAAGUCGAACGUGAAAACUCGGAGCUCAACUCCGAGCCUGCGUUCGAUACUGGACGGCUAGAGUCUGGUAGGGGGAUCUGGAAUUCCUGGUGUAGCGGUGGAAUGCGCAGAUAUCAGGAGGAACACCGGUGGCGAAGGCGGGAUCCUGGGCCAGUACUGACGCUGAGAAGCGAAAGCAUGGGGAGCGAACAGG
rnacentral:rRNA from 1 species